rnacentral:rRNA from 1 species
AGAGUUUGAUUCUGGCUCAGGAUGAACGCUAGCUACAGGCUUAACACAUGCAAGUCGAGGGGAAACGACAUCGAAAGCUUGCUUUUGAUGGGCGUCGACCGGCGCACGGGUGAGUAACGCGUAUCCAACCUGCCCACCACUUGGGGAUAACCUUGCGAAAGUAAGACUAAUACCCGAUGAUAUCUCUAGACGACAUCUGAAAGGGAUUAAAGAUUUAUCGGUGAUGGAUGGGGAUGCGUCUGAUUAGCUUGUUGGCGGGGUAACGGCCCACCAAGGCAACGAUCAGUAGGGGUUCUGAGAGGAAGGUCCCCCACAUUGGAACUGAGACACGGUCCAA